AUUGAACGCUGGCGGCAGGCCUAACACAUGCAAGUCGAGCGGAUGAGAGGAGCUUGCUUCUCGAUUCAGCGGCGGACGGGUGAGUAAUGCCUAGGAAUCUGCCUGGUAGUGGGGGACAACGUUUCGAAAGGAACGCUAAUACCGCAUACGUCCGACGGGAGCAAGCAGGGGACCUUCGGGCCUUGCGCUAUCAGAUGAGCCUGGGUCGGAUUAGCUAGUUGGUGAGGUAAUGGCUAACCAAGGCGACGAUCCGUAACUGGUCUGAGAGGAUGAUCAGCCACACGUGAACUGAGACACGGCCCAGACUCCUACGGGAGGCAGCAGUGGGGAAUAUUGGACAAUGGGGGCAACCCUGAUCCAGCGACGCCGCGUGGGUGAAGAAGGCCUGCGGGGUGUAAAGCCCUUUCGGUAGGGACGAAAGCUCUCGACCUAACACGUCGGGAGGUUGACUUAACCUACAAAAGAAGCACCGGCUAACUCUGUGCCAGCCGCCGCGGUAAGAC
rnacentral:rRNA from 1 species